rnacentral:rRNA from 1 species
GAUGAACGCUGGCGGCGUGCCUAAUACAUGCAAGUCGAGCGAACAGAUGAGGAGCUUGCUCCUCUGACGUUAGCGGCGGACGGGUGAGUAACACGUGGAUAACCUACCUAUAAGACUGGGAUAACUUCGGGAAACCGGAGCUAAUACCGGAUAAUAUAUUGAACCGCAUGGUUCAAUAGUGAAAGACGGUUUUGCUGUCACUUAUAGAUGGAUCCGCGCCGCAUUAGCUAGUUGUUAAGGUAACGGCUUACCAAGGCAACGAUGCGUAGCCGACCUGAGAGGGUGAUCGGCCAGACUGGAACUGAGACACGGCCCAGACUCCUACGGGAGGCAGCAGUAGGGAAUCUGCCGCAAUGGGCGAAAGCCUGACGGAGCAACGCCGCGUGAGUGAUGAAGGUCUUCGGAUCGCAAAACUCUGUUAUUAGGGAAGAACAAAUGUGUAAGUAACUAUGCACGUCUUGACGGUACCUAAUCAGAAAGCCACGGCUAACUACGUG